ACUCAAAGGAAUUGACGGGGACUUGCACAAGCAGUGGAUUAUGCGGUUUAAUUCGAUGACAAACGAAGAACCUUACCAAGACUAGAAAUCCCAACGACGAAUAUUAGAAAUAGUAUUCUUUCGCAAGAACGGUGGGACAGGUGAUGCAUGGCCGUCGUCAGUUCGUGAUUUGAAUUGUUCCCUUAAGUGGGGUAACGAACGCAACCCUCGUUGCCAGUUAUAAGUGUCUGGCGAGACUGCUCCGGUUUGUGAGCAGGAACCCUGAACGAAAGUGAAGGGCUCGUGAAUACAAACCGGAGAGGAAGGCGAGGAUGACGCCAGGUCAGCAUGUCCCUUGAUGUCUUGGGCCACACGCAUAAUACAAUCGCAUCUACAACGGGUCGCGACGCCGUAAGGCUGAGCUAAUCCUAAGAAAAGGUGCGCCAGUUCGGAUUGGGGGCUGAAACUCGACCCCAUGAAGUUGGAAUUGCUAGUAAUCGCGGGUCAGCUAUACCGCGGUGAAUACGUUCUCAAGUCUUGUACACACCGCCCGU
rnacentral:rRNA from 1 species